GUACACGCUGUGACUAGCAUAUCAAUAAGCGGAGGAAAAGAAACUAACAAGGAUUCCCCUAGUAACGGCGAGUGAAGCGGGAAGAGCUCAAAUUUGAAAUCUUAAAGGGUUUCCCUUUACGAAUUGUAGUUUAAAGAAGUGUUUUCUGUUGAGGUUUUGGUAAAAGUUCUUUGGAAUAGGACAUCAUAGAGGGUGAGAAUCCCGUAUUUGACCUUUACUUUCAACUUUGUGAUACACUUUCAAAGAGUCGGAUUGUUUGGGAAUGCAGUCCAAAAUGGGUGGUAAAUUUCAUCUAAAGCUAAAUAUUGGCGAGAGACCGAUAGCGAACAAGUACCGUGAGGGAAAGAUGAAAAGAACUUGAAAAGAGAGUUAAACAGUACGUGAAAUUGUCAAAAGGGAAGCGUUUGACACCAGUGUUGUUUUUCUGAAAAUCAAUUAAAGAACUGUUUAUGCUAAGCUGUUUAGACUUUAUCAGCUAUCUGUUUAGUUUUGAGCUUUUCUUUAAUGCACUUUUCAGUUAACAAGUCAACAUCAAUUUCUUUUGCUGUAAAAAAGCUUGAGGAAGGUGGCUUGAGAUUCGUCUUAAGUGUUUAUAGCCUCUUGCCUAUGCAGUCGGAGAGAUUGAGGUCUGCAGCGUAGAUCCUUCGGGGCUAAAUGCAUUUGUGCUAAGUUAUAGCAUUUUAUAGACAACUUGUUGACUAUGAUUUGUCUUGUAGCUUACUCGCUUAUGUUAUUUUACCUACGCUUAGGAUGUUGACGCGCGUGUGUGCGUG
rnacentral:rRNA from 1 species